UGAUAGUGACAUGUGCACAGUGAU
rnacentral:siRNA from 1 species